rnacentral:rRNA from 1 species
GAGUUUGAUCCUGGCUCAGAGCGAACGCUGGCGGCACGCCUAACACAUGCAAGUCGAGCGAGAAAGUGACUUCGGUCGCGAGUAAAGCGGCGAACGGGUGAGUACAACGUGGAUAAUCUACCCCAGGGUCCGGGACAACCCCGAGAAAUCGGGGCUAAUACCGGAUAAGACCACGGUAUCCAAGGAUACAGGGGUAAAAGAUUUAUCGCCUUCGGAUGAGUCCACGCCCCAUCAGGUAGUUGGUAAGGUAAAGGCUUACCAAGCCUAAGACGGGUAGCCGCCUUAGCGGUUGAACGGCCACAUGGGGACUGAGACACGGCCCUGACUCCUACGGGAGGCAGCAGUGGGGAAUAUUGGGCAAUGGGCGAAAGCCUGACCCAGCGAUGCCGCGUGAGGGAUGAAGGCCUUCGGGUUGUAAACCUCUGUCAGGAGGGACGAUGGGACUUUGUCUUGACGGUACCUCCAGAGGAAGCCCCGGCUAACUCCGUGCCAGCAGCCGCGGUAAUACGGAGGGGGCAAGCGUUGCUCGGAAUUACUGGGCGUAAAGGGUCCGCAGGCUGUCGGGCAAGUUGGAUGUGAAAGCUCAAGGCUUAACCUUGGAAUUGCAUCCAAAACUGCCUGACUAGAGUCCAAGAGAGGUUGGCGGAAUUCCCGGUGUAGCGGUGAAAUGCAUAGAUAUCGGGAGGAACACCAGAGGCGAAGGCGGCCAACUGGCUUGGUACUGACGCUCAGGGACGAAAGCGUGGGUAGCAAACCGGAUUAGAUACCCUGGUAGUC